rnacentral:rRNA from 1 species
UCCCAGACUCCUACGGGAGGCAGCAGUGAGGAACAUUGGUCAAUGGACGCAAGUCUGAACCAGCCAUGCCGCGUGCAGGAUGGCGGCUCUAUGAGUUGUAAACUGCUUUUGUACGAGGGUAAACCCCGAUACGUGUAUCGGGUUGAAAGUAUCGUACGAAUAAGGAUCGGCUAACUCCGUGCCAGCAGCCGCGGUAAUACGGAGGAUGCGAGCGUUAUCCGGAUUUAUUGGGUUUAAAGGGUGCGCAGGCGGAGGUGCAAGUCAGCGGUCAAAUUGCGGGGCUCAACCCCGUACUGCCGUUGAAACUGCAUCCCUUGAGUGCGCGAGAAGUAUGCGGAAUGCGUGGUGUAGCGGUGAAAUGCAUAGAUAUCACGCAGAACUCCGAUUGCGAAGGCAGCAUACCGGCGCGCAACUGACGCUGAAGCACGAAAGCGUGGGUAUCGAACAGGAUUAGAUACCCUAGUAU